rnacentral:lncRNA from 1 species
ACCCCACAGGUGACAAAGUGAGGAACAAAGUCAAAGAGGAAGGAGAACGGCGUUGAGGCUAUUUGGAGAAGUUGUGAACAGAAGAUGAAGCCCCUAUGAAAUCCAUCUAUAUGUCUGUUUCUCUAGACUCCCUUGGGUGACCCUAGAACUGUAGAAGCCCAUGACCCUGAGUCCACCGAGCGAGCACCCGGGCACCCAGGAACAUUCACCAUCUUCCAAAAGCGCUCAUGACCCAGGGCCAUUGGCAAUGUCUUCCAGAACGAUAUGGAAAUCAGAGCUUCAGACAGAGGAAAAUUAUCUGAAUCAGGCCAAAAGUCAAGUGGAGCCACAGGAUAAAAUGGUGCAUCCAGUGAAGUCCCUAAGACAUGAAGAUGACAGAAGAGAGCAAGGAGGGAAAGGAAG